rnacentral:snRNA from 1 species
AUGCUUGCUUCAGCAGCACGUAUACCACAAUUGCAACAAUACAUAGAUCCUUCACAAGGAUGAGACACAAAUUCAUGAAGCAGCCCAUGUUUAA